GGAACAUGUAGACCAAUAAAAAUGAUGGAAGGUCGCAGCUACCAUAGGAGCCAUCACGCUACCAAGAGAUGCUUCUUCAACGCAAAAAUUUCCAGCGGUUUUAUCGCCAUCAUGAGUCAAGCCUAAGCUAUUUAUGCAUAUGAUACAUCCAUGCCUCUUUGUAUCGUUAGCAAUAUUCAAUAUGGAAAAACGUGAAAUAUCUGAAAAGGAAAAGAAAUAAAAUAACACUAUGUAAUGUUUACUCACAAUAUUGAGUAAUGCCAGAACGUAUUGUUGAACACGUGGACCAUGAAACUCAAUGACGGAAUAAUCUACAGCAAUCGCAACCUCCAACCAUCGUCGUGGCAAUUGUUUCCUUUCUACAUCAAUGGGUUAUAAUAAAAUAUCAUUAUAAUUAUUUGUAACGCAAUUAUGUGAGACAUAGUGAUAUUUAUUAAACCAUCUUGGUAUUCGAA